rnacentral:lncRNA from 1 species
UUAACUGAUAAAAUGUAGGGACAUAUUUAUUAAUUCUUAAUUAUGAUCCACUAGAUCAAAUGUUUUUCGGAAGUCUAUCACUACGGCCCAUACUAAAUAGCCAUCGUUUAAAGCUUUUAGCCAUGAAUCAAUCAUGACUGUAAUUGCAGUUUCUGUUGAAUGAGAUUUUCGAAAUCCGCGUUGCUUUUCGUGUUAAAAAUUGAAAUUUGAUAAAUGAGACAUAAGAGAAUCGUGUACAUUUUUUAAAUUAGUUUUGAUAGGGUGGGUAAAAUUGAAAUAGGUCUAUUAUUAUUUACAUUAUCUUGAUCUUGACUUUACGUAAAGGCUUGAUUUUAGCAUUUUCCCACACACUUGGAAAUGUUGAGUUUAAAAUACUACAAUUAAUGACAGAUGUUAGACUACGCGCUAUAAAUGGAGAUGAAAUUUUCAACAAUGUUGGCCCUUUAUUAUCAAGUCCUGUUGAUUUUGACACAUCAAAAUUUGAUAAAUACUUUUCAACUUGAAAUACAGAUAUUAGCGGAAUUGAAAAGAAAUUUUCUACAGAAACUUUAGAAUCUACAAAGGCUUUGACAUGUGAAAAAUCAGACAAAGGCACUGGGUCUUUUAAGUUUUCAGCGGUCGUAGAAAAUUAAUCAUUGUAAUUAUUAGCUUUUUUCCUAGUGUUUAUUUGUUAUGAUUUUGUUAUUGACGGUUAUUUUUCAAUCCCUACUUUAUUCUGACUAUUUUUGCUUGUUACAAAUUCUUUAAAAAAUUUCCAUAUAGUUUUAGGAUCUUUUCCCCCUUCUUUAAUCCUGUUUUCGUACGAUCGCUUCAUAUGCUGUCUAAUUAAUGUUCAAACCUCUAUUUCGCUCCUCUUUAUUUAAGGGCGAUGUUUUGUCAUGUGAAAGUGAAUCGCGGUCCCGUAUCUCUUGUGAAAUUUCUGUGGAGAACCAGUCUGGUUGAUAUUUAGCGCUUUACUCUCUUAGUUUGAUUUGGCGCAAAUUUAUCAAUGACAUUUAAAUACAAAGUAUUCCAUUUUUCUAGCAUACUAUCAAUAUUGUUGCAGUCGUUUAUUACAUCCUAAUUUAUUUCUAGAAGAUCAUUACAAAAAAAGUUUUCAUUAAAAUGCUUGAAAUAUCGAAAAGUGAGUGUUUCGUGAUUAGCAGAUUUUAAAUUUUCAUAAAUCCUCCGAUUGCAGAACAGUGGGAAAUGAUCGCUGCUUCCGAUAUUAGCUAUCAACUGAUGUUAUAUUUUGCGGAAUGUUUGUAUAUUGUUAUGUAUAUAUAUUGUUUUUAUUUUCCUGAGGCAAAACAUGGUUUGCUGACCUUGUUUUAAGACAUUAUUCUGUAUUUACUAUAACAUUCUCCUUUAAUCUAGAAAAGUCUUUCAGUAAUGUAUCAAUUAUUGAUAAACAGUGUAUGUCAGUUAUUUUUAGAAAAAGACUGCCCGGAAAAGUCUUUUAGUUCUUAUUGUUACCUGAAAAUUCUGAAACCUUCCAUGAUACAAUAAAUAGUCAGAUGUUUUAGAUUGAAAUAGAACCUAAGAACCUAAACUGUAGAUAUUGAUGAAACUUUCCUGUAUUUCUUAAAAGAACAUAUUAUUACCAGUUUGGAUAAUUUAAUAUUUGGAAGGAUUAUUUGAAAAUUUCUGGAUUUUAUAAGUUAUCUUUGAAGAGAGGAAUUAUAAAUUUUGGAUAUUACUUUUGAACUGUGUGAAAGAUUGUGGGAUUCAUUCUGACUGGAUUUAAAUUUGACCUGGACUGGAUUUGGACUAUUUUAGUUAUUAGAUUUGAUUUUAAAGCUUUUUGUCAUUUUCAAAGGUCUUAGUAGUAGUGGAAAAGUGGAAACGGAAUGUACGAGAAAACUGCUCUUAUCAAAUCAUUCAGACCUAAGCCUCAGCGUAUCGUAUGGCGUUAUGGGCAAUGGCAGCCUUUGAACGAUGAUCUUCAGCGUGAAAUUCCCAGGGUCGAAUAUGUACACAGUCUUCUAGACGACUUAAACGAUUCCGAAUAUAUAAAUAACAAUUAAAGGAACCUGCUGGUUUUUGACGACUUGAUGACUGAAGCUAAAUGCGAUUAAAGAAUCGCUGACCUCUUUACGAAGGGUAUUCACCACAUAUCUAUCGUGUCAAUUCUCCCAAAAUUUGUUCCCCCAAGGUAAAGCCUGUAGAGAUAUUGCUUUAGAUGCGCAGUAUCUAGUGCUAUUUUAUAAUCCUAUUGACAGACAGCAAGUAGCCACACUGGCAAAGAGAAUUUACUCCUCUUUAAAUAACAUCUUUAUGAAACGAUUUGAACAAGCGACAUCACGAUCGCACGGUUAUUUGGUAAUAAACCUAAAAUCGAGCACACCGGAACAACAUCGUUUGCGUGGUUACAUUUUUAAAGUAGAUGAUCCGAGAAAGAGAAAACAAAUAUAUGGCGAAUAUAAACUAAAACACUAUUUCAGUGGCGAAGGAAACUAUAGUGUGGACCACAAUAAUUAUGAUGAAGAUGAUGAUAACUUUAUACAGAAAUGACCUUUAUUUAAGGGACCUCCUGGUAAACGUAGAAAAAUUGAGCGUAGAGAAGAGCGAUCACGCCAUGAGAUAAGGGAUAAGUGUUUUCAGGAUCCUCUCAGACAAUCUAUAAAAGAACAAUUUAAUGCUAAAGUAAACAAGUAUACAGAACAAGGACUCUCUUUUGAAGAGGCUUACCGUUGCACUGCUAAUGACGAAUUUCCUCAACUAAGAAAGAAACUGAGACAAAAUUAUGCUUGAUUUCUAUUUGAUUUUUAUGAGCUACAAGAAGAUCCUACACAGCAGUAGAUUCUACAGUCGGCUAAGAAGCUUAGGGGACAACACGGCAUGUCUGUCAAAGAAUCUAUUUGGCAAGCCGUUACACUGAAAAAAGACCAAUUUAAAGCGUUGUGGUCCAAUCACGAAAGCAAAGAAAAAUAUACGAUGGUGGAUAAUAAUGAAAGCGAACGAGAUUCAGAUGAAAAUGAAUAUACCUUUUAAGAAGAAUCGCCUUGCUUUGACAUUCACAACUCUGAAAUGGACUCCUUAGAAGAGUACGAUCAUAAGCAGAGAAAAUGGAUACCGUAUAUUUCGGAUCCGGAUAAGUAGUAUGAACAUUUCAAAAACUUGAGAGACGGAUUCGUACGUCCUGAUCAUAAAGAUCAUCACAUCGUAGGUAGUGGCGCUCAUCUAAGAAAAAUGGCCGAGUUUGAAGAGAAACGAGCUAUAAAACAAGGACAAAAAGGGGAGGAACUUCCCGCAGUAAAACUAGUGACAGCCGUAGCUAAAGCGGUUGUAAUCGCUAGGUCGGAAAUCAGACAGUCACAAAAGCAUAGCGAUCUGAUACGACAUAGGAACGGCAUGGACAGAACUAUGAGCUAUGAUUUAUACAGCCCAUGUCGUAAGAAAUAUCGCAUGACGCAAGAUACUAUAGACUGUAGUGAUGGGCAAAUCGGUUACAUUUGCCAACCGAUUAAUCGGAACAAUCGGAUAAGCCAACCGAUUCGAUUAAUCGGACAUAAUCGGAUAAUCGGUUAGUUAUAACUUGUUUUAGUUGCAUAUCUGUAAGUUAACCUUUAACUUGGUUUUAAACAUACACAAUGCUUUUUUGUUAUCAUUAUUCCAUGUGAAGUACUUCAGAAAUGAUUAAAAGGAAUAAAACACUUAAAAAAACUGUA